rnacentral:antisense_RNA from 1 species
ACAAAGGGCACCCUUAUGCUGCUGUAAACCAGGGCCAGCAUUUUUAAAAUGUGAGACACCUGUUUCCCUAGAGUGUGAAGAGGAGGAGAAAGGCUAAGAUCUUUUCCAAUGCAAAAUUAGGAAAAAAUAUACUAUGGGUAAGAUGGAGCAAGCAUGCUCUGCACCUUGUGUCUCCCUCAAAAUGUGGCUCUAAAACCUGAACAGGAUACAGCAACUAUCUGAGGUCUCUGAAAAGCAAACAGUAACACGCAAAAAGGAGAAGAGGACAGGAAUCUGAAGUAGCACCAAACCAGUGAUUUAUGAAAAAAUAAGAAGUGAAAGUAUUCUCUGACUGCAAGUAUGACCAACUGUCUUUCUAUAUCAGAACCCGAGCUAGAAGACUGCAUUUACUACCCUUCUUUGCUAACAAGAGUGACUAUGUGACUAUGUUCUGCCCAAUGCAAACAGCCUGAAAAGC